AUUUCUUUCUGCAGACAUCCCCUCUAUGGCUGCUGAAAACAGCCCUCUGCUAUUCGGGAUUUGCUUACUGAUGCCUUUAUCAGGCUUUCAAUACCUUCAGCCCUUCCUAGGGUCUGAUUGUCUCACCUGUAUUCCCCCUCCUCGGUUAUAUCCGGGCACGAAUUACGUGCACUGCUUGGGAUGCAACAAGUAAUGGCUGCCUGGAGGAAUUCACCUCUUGCUACAGAAGCGUCCAGACAUGAAAUUGCACCAGAUUACAGAAAAAGAGUGCUGACCCAAGAAUCCCAUGUGGUUGAGUCAGGCUGCUCCAGUAGGGAUGGGGAGUAAUUGAUGUACCGGAGAUGAUGACCUUUGCUGGGCUGAGACUGCAUCUCUCUGUUAUUCCUUCCUUUUUUUUUUUUUCUUGAAGUCCUAUCUGCAUGCGGUUUGUUUUCAUCCAGCCCGAGAUGGAUGGUGCAUGGAUUUAAUGAGGUCGUGUUUUCCCACCAGUUCCAUUUGUAGCCAUUUAAUGUUCAGCUCUGAGUAGUAGAUUGAGUUAAAGGCUAUUUAAAAGUCUAUGAUGCAGACAA